GAUGAAGAACGCAGCGAAAUGCGAUACGUAAUGUGAAUUGCAGAAUUCAGUGAAUCAUCGAAUCUUUGAACGCAUAUUGCGCUCUCUGGUAUUCCGGAGAGCAUGCUUGUUUGAGUAUCAGUAAACACCUCAACUUCCAUAUCUUUUUUGAAAUGGGAGUUGGACUUGAGUGAUCCCAACGCUUUUCCUCACCGAAAAGUGGCGGGUUACUUGAAAUGCAGGUGCAGCUGGACUUUUCUCUGAGCUAUAAGCAUAUCUAUUUAGUCUGCCUAAAGAACAGAUUAUUACCUUUGCUGCAGCUAACAUAAAGGAGAUUAGUUCUUGUGCUGACUGAUGCAGGAUUCACAAAGACAGCUUCGGCCGACUUUGUAAACUCGAUCUCAAAUCAAGUAAGACUACCCGCUGAACUUAAGCAUAUCAAUAAGCGGAGGA
rnacentral:misc_RNA from 1 species